rnacentral:lncRNA from 1 species
CUGGAGGGCCCUGGAGGCCCCUCUUCUGCACCACGAUUGCCGGAUACAUCCAGGGUCUCCAGGAAGGUGUCGGCCCGAGGGAAGCCCUCCGAGCUGUCAUCAGAGAGAGACUGUGGAGUCAGAACAGGGUGUGGAGCUCGUGAAGAAGGGGCGUCCGCUGUGCUCAGAGACUCUUGUGGGACCCGGAAGAGCUGCCAGGCUGAACGGCCCCCGGCAUGUGGCUGGCUAGUGGUGCUCCCGUGCAAGGAGAAGCUUCGCGGCUGAGUGCAACUGUGCGGAGAGACUUCUAAGCUUCGUGGCUGAGCGCAACUGUGCGGAGAGACUUCUAAAGCUGGGGCCUCAGAACUGCUGCCUUCUGCCUUCCAGAGCAGACUAGUGGGUAGGAGACGGAGAGGGGCUUGUCUGGGGUGGGGCCCAGCCUCCCGUCUUUCCCUGGUGCUCCCUGCCCUUCAUGCGCUGGGAACAAGAGGCGCUGCUUCAUGGGCCAAGAACUUGGUUUUGUAAAACAAACAAAC